rnacentral:lncRNA from 1 species
GGAGCUGUCGGCUGCACAGGAGAGGAUCAGCCAACUGGAAGGAAGCUCGUCCUGGCUUUCGACUCGGGCCAACUGCGAUCGAGAAUGGUCGAAGAAGGUCUCCGACCUUCAGCAACAGCUCCAAGAGGUCGAGGCAAACUAUAACGCGUACCGGGCCGACUGGUGCAAGCAGGUGGACGACUACAGGGGGAAGCUCAGGAUGGUGACCGAUGAGGUUGCCCACCUUCAAAGGCAGUUAUCUGAAGG